ensembl:lncRNA
CCUUUCCCAGGCUUCCUUGUUCACUUUUUCUCGAUAUUUUAAGACUCUAACUUGGUAGUUCCCAGCUGCUGCAAAUUUAUUUCCAAAGAGAACCCCACAUUCCUAACACGAAGCAGUGCCAUGUGCAAGCGCAGGUCAGCUGCGUGCCAAGAGCAAGCUUGUGACUGCCUGGGAGAGUCCAGCAGUUAAGAAGUGUUUUAAUGAAAUGAAAUGUUUUCAUUUUACUGGAGGUGGCCAAAUCCAAGCCUCCCAUUUUGCCCAAGCUGCAGAUUUUCACUGUGAAGCCUGGAGUAUGACCAGUGCUUAGGGCAGUCCCCAUCCAGAUGCUAAAAUGCUGCACGUCCCAAGCACAGCCCAGAGUAGUGGUGCUUUGCAGUGCUGGAACUUGCCCUGGCCUUAAGCCAUUUAGAUACAGUUAAAUGCUAAAAAAAGAGCUGUUCUUAUUAGACUGUCUGCUCAGAAUGGCUUAGGGCUCAAGAAAUCAGUUGUCAAGGUUUCAGUGCACAUGAGAGACAAGAGCUCAAAUCCCUGGUUAAACUGAAAUCUCAGACAGGACACAUAAUUUCAAUUCUUUAUUUGCUCAUCUUGAUGCAUCUUUACCACCUUAGCUAUUCUUCUCCCUGGCCCAACGCAGACACAUUAAAAAGAGAUUAAAAUGUCCAAAAAUAUUAUCUGUCUUGUCCUUCAUGAAAGCCUGUCCUCUGAGCCUCUGCAAAGCCCCAAGGGCCAGUGAUGGGGCAUCUUUCUCCCCUUUUCUACUCCACCCAGUGAAUCCCUACAGCCCUCCAACAGAAAAAGGUCGAUGAAUUCAGGCUACACUGGAUUUGGUGACAUUAGCUCCACAGUCAGGUAUUUUAUAGAGCACCACUUCUGCCACCAUCCUCUUGUCUCCUAAAUCAGGCUUUCUCAGCUCAUGGCACUCCCUGACUGUUGUGGCAGUGGCAGGGGAUGUGCAAAGACGUGCUCCAUCUGGGAAAGGCAGGAGGUCUGCACACUCAGAGCAUCUCCAAAAAUGAGAUUCGCAACCUCAGUGCCUGUGUCAGCACAAAGCUGCUCUGCCUGCUCACCUCCCAGCCAGGACAUUCCAUGGCAGCCCAAGAGGGACAGGGUACAAUUCUGCUUUGCCUUGUGGCUUCACCCCGGCACAAGGGCAGUGUUCAGGGGAUUGCCCACAGUCCCUCCCUUAUUUAUCGUCAGGGCAUGAGUCUUUUCCAACUCACUCCAUAUUGUAUCAUUGCAACUCCAUUGAUUUCACAGGAACUAAUCCUGAUUUACAGAGGGUAACUCAGAUCAGGCCCCUUUUGACUAAAGCUCUGCGUCUAAAAGAAAAAUACCUUCAAUCAAUCUUCAGGGCUUUAAAACAAAGUACACUUUAAAAAUGGCUGUACCAGGAAUUCAUAUCCUGCUUUCCUCUGACUGUAACUAUCAUUUUGACUUAAUAAAAUGUGACAGUAAAGUUAAAGGAUAAAAGAAAAUGCUUCAUCUUUCAUUUUAAAGGAAAGACAUGCCUUUAAAAAAGACUAAAAAAGGAACCUCCUGCAAAAGCUUUAAUUCUUCUGUUCAGGAUCUUUUGUGAUUGCCACAGUUACGAUUUUAUUAGACUGGGACAGCAGAGGCAAGAGGAGCAAUGGAAAGAUGUGGACAUUAAAGUAUUCAAAAAAGUGCUGGAAGAAUAAGGGAAAUAAAUAUAAACAUUGUAAAGAAAGGCAGCUCAGAAAUGUGGCUAUGACAGGCUGGCACAGGCAGCUCUGCCCUAGAAAAUAGAGCUCCAAGGCCAACAAAACUAAGGUCCUUUAUUCAUCUGAUGCUCCUCACCCUUCCCUCCCUCUCCAGCUGGAAUCUGUCCCACCCAACUGGCUCCAAGGGCCAUUCCACACUAUCAAAGAAAAAGCUUUUCCCUCUGCCCCUGGCCACAUGCACACACUCAGCCCUCAGCUGUGCCCAUGCUGGGGACAUGGAUCUGUCUUACAGCCAAAAUAUGGCAUGUUGCACUUGCAUGUCCAGAGGUCAAAUCUCAUAUACACUGUUAGAUUGGACUUGUGGAUACUGAGAUCCCCUCACUUAUUUACUUUGUGAGGCAAAUCUAUGGAAAUGGUCAAACUACAGCUGAGAUGAGAAUCUGCGAAGAGAUCUUGUUUUGCUUUAAUUAAAUAACCAUACAGUCUUCAGAAGAAUUUGUGAGCUCACUUUGAAUUUCAUGGCAUUUUCUAUGCCAAAGGUCUUGCUCUGGCUGUCACCAGGCUCGUGUGUACCCACCUUGCUCAGGGCUUCCCAUGGCCUCAACUGCAACAUCACCUGUGAGUCUCACACUGAACUUGCUCUCACCCCAGGCAGGGUUAUCUUCAAACCCCACUGCAAUUCAGCAGCAGUGGGGUACAUCUCAAGUGUGUACAGGCAAUGUGCUGUCCUGUGGCAGAGCAGAAGCUGGAGCUCCAUGCUGACCCUUCUCACAGCUCCAGCCUCACAGAAUCUGCAGGGCACCACUGCCAGUAUCACAGUAGGUUUUAUAUCAGGAAUAAAACAAUUAAGAUUUUGCCACACAGGCCAAUUCAUUGAAACCCUUCUGUUAUCUAGAUCUGUAUAAAUAAUUCAGGUAACUCUUUGCAAGGAAGAAAUCAGUUUUUCCUAAUAUACUAUUUGGUUCAUGGCUCGUGAAGCCUGUAGUAGAGCUGAAUAGUAAUAGUCUAUACUUUGAUGUUCUUAGGACUACAUUCCACAAAAAAUUGACAGAAGGGGCACUUUAUUUCUAGGGCUCUUCCUGAUUGCUGAUCAAAGCCACCCAGGAUGGUUAAGGUCCAAAACCAAGCCCACAAAAUGCAAUGGGAUAUUUUCAUUCAGAACAGGUAACAGAGACAAAACUCUUAAAAAUGGUUUAGUACAAAAUUAAUUGCUUGUUGUCAGGCCACUUCUAUAUGGACUGGUGUAGGCCCUCAGUAAACCAUCAGCCACCAUUUGGUUACCUGACAUUGCCACAAGGUCCUGGAAACAGAACUGUUCCCUCACCUGUGGAGGAAGCCCUCCAAAACAAGACCCUAUUAUAGAGAGGUUCCAUUAAAUAAAGCUGAUUCAACAGCAAAAAUCUGUGUAACAGCACAAAAUAUACUGUACCUCUGGGCUGCUGCCAAAUCCAGUGGGCAUAAAUAAAUACCUGCUCUGCUGACACUCAGACUUGCUUCUGAGCAGUGCUAACCUGACCACACAUUGAGUGUGUCCCCAAGUGCUUCAAGAGGCUCCCCAGAGAGCUCUAGAUCUUUUUUUAACUGGCUACACUUUAUAUAAAGACAUGAGAGGCUUUGUUAGCAUUUGUUUGGGGUAUGAAUAUAGCACUUGAGAAAAGGUGCCUUGGAGUCUGAAGCCUUCUGUUUAUUCAAAGAUUGUAUUUGGUGAUGAAGGCUCACACUUAUUUAUCUCCCUGGUGGUAUGCUGCCACUGUUUCCUAGAAAAGUGCCUCUAUGGAAAUAUCUGCUGUUUACUGUUCACAGAAUGGCCUCUCUGAGAUAUGUCAAAGUUUUGUCAAAGAAUUACCAAAGUUUUGGUAAUUCCUGGACUUGGACUGGCUAUGGAAUUAUUUCUAUGUGUUCCAUCUGUGAAACACAGAGAUGAAGGCAAAGCCUAAUACAACAGCAGAAUGUAAUGGAUGCUAUGGCACUUAGCACAGCUGCAGCUCAGACACGACAUUUACUGGAGCCUUGCUUUAGAAUCAGGAGCUCCUGACUCCCGGUCAAAGUCCCUGGAUGCUCAGCCAAAAAGAGGAAGAGUGUACACAGCCCAAGAGAGGAGCCACCCCAGGGCUCAUGGGACAGCAGCAACAGCAGGAAUAACUAUUCCAGGGGCCUGCCUGCAGCAGGGAAGCAUGCACAGGGCUCAGCACUCCUUGCAGUGCAGUCACCUUUCUCACUGAACAUGUGAUUUGGAAUCCUCUGCAUGGGGGCUGUAAAGCCAAGGUACCAGACAUGCUGUUUACAUUCAGAUCAGCUAUACACUGCAAGUAUCACACUUACUGCAAAUUGUCACCUGGCUGCAAGAGCUCUUUCUGGCUUGAGGUUUGGUACUCAACCCAAGACUGAUGCCUUAGUCCUGUAGCUGUUCCCAAAACACCAACACAGCAGCUUUUCUUCAAGUUGCUCCCCUGCACAAUGUAGUUGGUUUGUAAAUGGGCAAAUUAGCAGAGCCACAGUGCCCAGGACCACACUGCACAGCCACUGUCAUUCCAACACCCUUGUGCUUGACAGUCUGGAGACGAUUCUCUGUUUGCAGUGAUUUCCAGACAUGACGUGCUCCUGCUCACAGACCUCCCCACUGCACCUAUGAUGCUACAAUGCUGGAAACUGAGGCAGAACACAGAUUUGUCACUCAGUCACUAGUAUCUGCAGACAGUUUUAGACAGAAACAGAAAGAGGAAUUAAUUCCUCCUGACUCUUCAAAAUGCUUUUGGUAUGGGGCUUAUCUUUGUCUCACAGUUUAAUAUGAAAACCAUAAGUGUUAUUGAAUUUUUUGACUUACUAAAGUAUUAACCAUUGUUUUACUGACACUGUUUUUUUUUUAUUCAGCUCUAAUUAUAGGAUCUAUUGCAGACAUUCCAUGGGAUGUUUACUAAGGAAAUUAGUGACAAUGGUUCUAAAUCGUAUUAGACUUAAUACAGGUUGGUAGCUCACAAAGUUUCUCCCUUCAACACUAUGACAGCAAUCUGGGGACAAGUACAGUCCCCAGAUUGUGCCAUGCAUAUAGACAAUCCUGAUAAACUAUGUAGCAGUCACUGUGGUGCCCCUGUGUCCACAGAGCUGGGAAAACAACAGAAAGCAAAAAUUAAAAAAACAAAAA